AGUGGCGGACUGGUGAGUAACACGUGGGUGACAUACCUUUUAGAUGGGGAUAGCUGCUAGAAAUAGUAGGUAAUACCGAAUGUGACCGCGUCCGGUAAUCGGAUGCGAGGAAAGGAGCUAAGGCUUCGCUAAAAGAAUGGCUCGCGGCCCAUUAGCUAGUUGGUGAGGUAACGGCCCACCAAGGCAAUGAUGGGUAUCCGGCCUGAGAGGGUGAACGGACACAUUGGGACUGAGAUACGGCCCAGACUUC
rnacentral:rRNA from 1 species